CUACGGGAGGCUGCAGUGGGGAAUAUUGGACAAUGGGGGCAACCCUGAUCCAGCCAUGCCGCGUGUGUGAAGAAGGCCUUAGGGUUGUAAAGCACUUUCAGUGGUGAGGAAGGCUGAGUAGUUAAUACCUGCUUAGUUUGACGUUAGCCACAGAAGAAGCACCGGCUAACUCUGUGCCAGCAGCCGCGGUAAUAUAGAGGGUGCGAGCGUUAAUCGGAAUUACUGGGCGUAAAGCGCGCGUAGGUGGUUUGUUAAGUCGGAUGUGAAAUCCCCGGGCUCAACCUGGGAACUGCACCCGAUACUGGCAGGCUAGAGUACGAUAGAGGGGUGUGGAAUUUCCUGUGUAGCGGUGAAAUGCGUAGAUAUAGGAAGGAACAUCAGUGGCGAAGGCGACACCCUGGAUUGAUACUGACACUGAGGUGCGAAAGCGUGGGGAGCAAACAGGAUUAGAUACCCGCGUAGUC
rnacentral:rRNA from 1 species